AAAUUUAGAACAUUAAACAUAUUGUUGUUUAGAUUUUUUUUUUAAACAGUUAUAUUCAUUCCUUUGUUGUGCAGCAUCAACUACAACAUCAUUCUCCAUGAUUCGCCAUGUUGUAGCAUCGGCAAUUGCAAGCAGCCUGUGCUUUUAAAGCUAGUGGAAUUUAUUUCAUCUUUUACUCAAAUAUUGGAUGACUGUAAUAUAUUAUAAUACUUAUGCUGUUGAUACUGUUGGACAACUGUAAUAUUUACUAAUAUU
rnacentral:lncRNA from 1 species